GGCCUGAUAGCACAACGGUUAGUGCGUCUGCUAUAAGUGGUGUAGUCUGAAACUUUCGGUAGAAGAUCCCCGUUCAACUCGGGGUCAGGUCA